CCCUAUCCGAUAUGAGGGUAAAUCGGGUCGUAUCCAUACCCUGUUCGGUAUGAGCGCCAAAAAUAUAAUCCCUUAAUAUCCCGUCCGGUAUGAGGUAACAUUCACGGUAAGGUUUUCUAUGUAUCCGGUCCAUCUACCAUAUUUUAAGAUAUCUAGUAAGAUAACCAUUUAUUAAUUAACAUAAUCAAGCAAUUUUUUAUUUGUAU
rnacentral:lncRNA from 1 species